UAUUCGGAAUCACUGGGCUUAAAGGGUGCGUAGGCGGCCAUGUAAGUGAGGUGUGAAAUCCCUCGGCUCAACCGAGGAACUGCGCUUCAUACUGCAUGGCUUGAGGGAGACAGGGGUAAGCGGAACUGAUGGUGGAGCGGUGAAAUGCGUUGAUAUCAUCAGGAACACCGGUGGCGAAAGCGGCUUACUGGGUCUCUUCUGACGCUGAGGUACGAAAGCUAGGGUAGCGAACGGG
rnacentral:rRNA from 1 species